AUGCAGCCUCUGAAGUGGUCCCGGAGGGACAUACUCUGUGGCGAGCUCUGGGCGGGCGAUGCCGGGCGCCGGGUCCGGCUCUACUGCUGGGUCCACCCACAGUCCUACCUACCCAUCCUCUCCUUCCGAGUCUCCAGCCAUACCCAGCCGCCGCCGAAAGAGCAGGGCGAGAAGAGCUCGGGGAUGGGGAAGGUGGUGUGCGUCACAGGCGCCUCGGGCUACAUCGCCUCCUGGCUCGUCAAGCUCCUCCUCCAGCGCGGCUACACCGUCCACGUUACCAUCAAGGACACCGCUGACCCCAAGAAAACAUUGCACCUGCAGGCCCUGGAUGGAGCCAAGGAUAGGCUGCACUUGUUCAAAGCAAGCUUAUUGGAAGAAGGCUCUUUCGAUGCUGCCAUCGCCGGUUCUGAUUGUGUGUUCCACACGGCUUCUCCCUUUUAUCACAAUGUCAAGGACCCCAAGGCUGAGUUACUUGACCCAGCAGUCAAUGGAACACUCGAUGUUCUCCGUUCCUGCAAGAAAGCCUCUAUCAAGAGAGUCACCAUCACGUCAUCAAUGGCUGAUGUUGCCUACAAUGGGAAGCCAAGAACUCCUGAUGUAGUAGUUGAUGAGACUUGGUUUUCAAGUGCAGAGAUCUAUGAAAAGAAUCAGGUAAUAUGCUGUUUUCAGUUGAUAGAACUCCGGUUGUUUUUCACACAUGGUGUGGUAAAAUUCUGGUUGAUUUGCAUAUAUGGUGUGCCAAGUCACGUUAAUAAACACAUAGACCUCUACUGA
rnacentral:rRNA from 1 species